CGCCUCUUGCAAACACCAGUAUAAGAGGUCCCGCCUGCCCUGUGAAUUUAUUUUUAACGGCCGCGGUAUUUUGACCGUGCAAAGGUAGCGCAAUCACUUGUCUUUUAAAUGAAGACCCGUAUGAAUGGCAUAACGAGGGCUUAACUGUCUCCUUUUUCCAGUCAAUGAAAUUGAUCCCCCCGUGCAGAAGCGGGGAUAAAUACAUAAGACGAGAAGACCCUAUGGAGCUUUAAAUAACAGACAGACCAUGUUAAGACACUUGACUAAACAAGUCCAAACUUUUGUAAACCUGUCUCAUUGUUUUCGGUUGGGGCGACCAUGGGGAAAAAAAUAACCCCCACGCGGUGAAAAAUAUUUUUCAUAACCAAGACUAACAAGUCUAAGCAUCAGAAAAUCUGACCUUAAAUGAUCCGGCCAUUCCGAUCAACGAACCAAGUUACCCUAGGGAUAACAGCGCAAUCUCCUUCUAGAGCCCUUAUCGACAAGGAGGUUUACGACCUCGAUGUUGGAUCAGGAUAUCCUAAUGGUGUAGCCGCUAUUAAGGGUUCGUUUGUUCAACGAUUAAAAUCCU
rnacentral:rRNA from 1 species